AUGACCUUACUUGAACAGGAUCUGUUCUAUAGGUUUUACCUCUGUAUCCUUGAGUUCUAAGGAGACAGGAACUACAAUCUGGUAACCUAUCAAAAAUAUAUAUCCAUAUAUAUUAAGUUUUCUUCCAAUAUAAAUGCUUUACUCCGACCUUACCCGUUGGUCAAGUUGGACUUGUGUCUCUGUCAGAUU
rnacentral:snoRNA from 1 species